rnacentral:rRNA from 1 species
UACGUAGGCAGCAAGCGUUGUUCGGAGUUACUGGGCGUAAAGGGUGCGUAGGCGGCCCCAUAAGUAUGGUGUGAAAUCUCCCGGCUUAACUGGGAGGGUGCGCUAUAGACUGUGGGGCUAGAGUGUGGGAGAGGAAAGUGGAAUUCCUGGUGUAGCGGUGAAAUGCGUAGAUAUUGGGAGGAACACCUGUGGCGAAAGCGGCUCACUGGACCAUUACUGACGCUGAGGCUCGAAAGCUAGGGGAGCAAACAGG